rnacentral:rRNA from 1 species
UGCCAGCAUCCGCUGUACUACUGAUUGUGCAAUCGUUAAUCGGAAUUACUGGGCGUAAAGCGCGCGUAGGUGGAUUAUUAAGUCAGAUGUGAAAGCCCAGGGCUUAACCUUGGAACUGCAUUUGAUACUGGUAAUCUUGAGUACAGUAGAGGGAGGUGGAAUUUCAGGUGUAGCGGUGAAAUGCGUAGAUAUCUGAAGGAACAUCAGUGGCGAAGGCGACCUUCUGGACUGAUACUGACACUGAGGUGCGAAAGCGUGGGGAGCGAACAGGAUUAGAUA